AGAGUUUGAUCCUGGCUCAGAUUGAACGCUGGCGGCAUGCUUUACACAUGCAAGUCGAACGGUAGACCCUUUCGGGGGUUGAGAGUGGCGAACGGGUGAGUAAUGCAUCGGAACAUACCCAGUCGUGGGGGAUAACGUAGCGAAAGUUACGCUAAUACCGCAUACGUCCUGAGGGAGAAAGCGGGGGAUCGCAAGACCUCGCGCGAUUGGAGUGGCCGAUGUCAGAUUAGCUAGUUGGUGGGGUAAAGGCCUACCAAGGCGACGAUCUGUAGCGGGUCUGAGAGGAUGAUCCGCCACACUGGGACUGAGACACGGCCCAGACUCCUACGGGAGGCAGCAGUGGGGAAUUUUGGACAAUGGGGGCAACCCUGAUCCAGCCAUUCCGCGUGAGCGAAGAAGGCCUUCGGGUUGUAAAGCUCUUUCAGUUGGAACGAAACGGUACGCUCUAACAUAGCGUGCUAAUGACGGUACCGACAGAAGAAGCACCGGCUAACUACGUGCCAGCAGCCGCGGUAAUACGUAGGGUGCGAGCGUUAAUCGGAAUUACUGGGCGUAAAGCGUGCGCAGGCGGAUUGUUAAGCAAGACGUGAAAUCCCCGGGCUUAACCUGGGAAUGGCGUUUUGAACUGGCAGUCUAGAGUGUGUCAGAAGGGGGGUGGAAUUCCACGUGUAGCAGUGAAAUGCGUAGAUAUGUGGAGGAACACCAAUGGCGAANGCAGCCCCCUGGGAUAACACUGACGCUCAUGUACGAAAGCGUGGGUAGCAAACAGGAUUAGAUACCCUGGUAGUCCACGCCCUAAACGAUGUCAACUGGUUGUUGGGGGAGUGAAAUCCCUUAGUAACGAAGCUAACGCGUGAAGUUGACCGCCUGGGGAGUACGGUCGCAAGAUUAAAACUCAAAGGAAUUGACGGG
rnacentral:rRNA from 1 species